rnacentral:rRNA from 1 species
UACGUAAAAGACUAGUGUUUAGUCAUCUUUAUUAGGUUUAAAAGGGGUACCUAGACGGUAAAUUAAACCCCUAAAAGGGUACUUUUUUUACUAGAGUUUUAUAAGAGAAAGGGAGAAUUUUUAGAGUAGAGAUAAAAAUUCUUUGAUACUAAAAAGGACUGGUAAGGGCGAAGGCUGCUUUCUAUGUAAAAACUGACGUUGAGGGACGAAGGCUUGGGUAGCAAUAAGG